rnacentral:tRNA from 1 species
GGUCAUUUAGCACAAAAAGUGCGUGUAAUUUCGGCUUAUAAGGUUUAACCUGGUUAAAAUGAUCA